UGCAUUGGUUCAGCUCUCCGGAGUUUGGCCUUGGCAUGUUUUCCUUCCAAUGCUGAGCCCGUGGUAGAGUUAUUCAACUCAAUUCCCUGCACACCCCACUUUUCUCAUCUAUAAAACCAACCAACCAUUUGGUUGUUGUGAAGAUAACUGGGUGAACCACGCAGAGUCUGUAGCAGUGCCAGGCAUGUGGCCAAUUCUAUAAAAGUGCAGGAAGAAUGAAAGACAGGUGUGCCGAUCCUCCUUGACCUUCUGGGACCUUCUGUUGCUCCAGGUUUGGCUGCCCCUAGAAGGUGAGUCAGCUCCUAAUACAGUGUCUGUGACUGUGAGGAAGACUAAGGCCUCGUGCGUUUGGGAGGAACCUCAGAGCAUAUGGUCAGCUUUGGGGUGUCAGACCAAAUUUUACAAGUCAGGUGAGCAUGAAGUCUCUGAGAGUAGGCACCCAUCUGGCCCAGGGCCUGGAAGCUGUAAUCUGGAGUGACGGGGCAAGACUUGAGGACAUGGAGAAAUUGGACGCAUGGAGCAAGAUGAGUUCUUUCGGAGAAUUUGGCUCAGUUCAGGGGAAAAGUCUGCAACUGGUUGAAUGCUGGCUAUCUCAACCUGAAACCCAACCCAGUGGAGGUUCCCGCCUUGACUUCCCUGUAAUGAGAGACUACAACCUGGAACUGUGAGCCAAGUCAGUCUUCCCCUUAAGGCUGCUCUUGCAGGGUAUUUUAUCCCAGCAACAGACACGAAGCUCAGACACCCUGUGAACAGAGCUCUGUUAAACCUUAAUAAACCCCACUCUACUUCCAAUGGCUGUGCUAGUUGGCCUUUGUCAAGUUGACACAAACCUAGACGUAUCUGUCCCUGUCUCCAUGUUCCUGCCUUGAGUUCCUGCCCCGAU